UUAAUAAAAUCGGGGUGUUGCUCUUUUGUGACACAACGGAGUUUGGGCUACCUUUGACUUUCGGGUUUAAGUGGCUUAAAAUUGAACUUUUUUUGCGCACUUUUUAGACGUACAUAAAUUUUUUUAUCGUCUAUUCUGGUGUCAAAUUACUUAUUAGGUGCGAUCAUGUUUUAUAUGAUCUCGUGCCCAUAAUUCUCAUC
rnacentral:misc_RNA from 1 species